AUUGAACGCUGGCGGCAUGCCUUACACAUGCAAGUCGAACGGCAGCGCGGGAGCAAUCCUGGCGGCGAGUGGCGAACGGGUGAGUAAUAUAUCGGAACGUGCCCAGUAGUGGGGGGAUAGCCCGGCGAAAGCCGGAUUAAUACCGCAUGAGACCUGAGGGUGAAAGCGGGGGAUCGCAAGACCUCGCGCUAUUGGAGCGGCCGAUAUCAGAUUAGCUAGUUGGUGGGGUAAAGGCCUACCAAGGCAACGAUCUGUAGUUGGUCUGAGAGGACGACCAGCCACACUGGGACUGAGACACGGCCCAGGACUCCUACGGGAGGCAGCAGUGGGGAAUUUUGGACAAUGGGCGCAAGCCUGAUCCAGCAAUGCCGCGUGCA
rnacentral:rRNA from 1 species